rnacentral:tRNA from 1 species
GGCGCUAUAGUGUAGUGGUUAUCACUCGGGAUUUUGACGUCUACAAUAUUCCCGAAACCCAGGUUCGAACCCUGGUAGAGCCU